GGGGGCUGGAAAUUCUUCAUCAAAUUGUUGAGAAACAUUAAGGUUUCGAUCAUUGAAGUGUUUGGAAGGCGAAAUUGUUGAAGGCUUGGAUUCUUCCUUUAAUCGAAGUGAGGCAGUUCCUCAACUUUCAAGGGAAGUAUGAACACUCCAAGGAAUGCGAAUCAAAUAGUUGAGGAGGGAGUUGCUAAUGCAAGAGCUCCUCCCCAUGAUUAGCAAGUUCCUACACUUGAUGAAAAUGCUAAUGUUGAUCAAGCCAUGGCUAACCCUCCACCUAUGGCUUAGGCGGAGAUGAGGGAUAGUCUUGCUCAAAUGGCCCAAGCCAUGACUACUCAAGCACAAGCUGCAACAGUUCAAGCCCAAGCUUUGACGUCUCAAGCCAAUCGGGAUAUUUCUCCCUGUCCUCAUCAUCAAGUCACUACUAUGUCUUCCCGUCUAAGGGACUUCACUCAGAUGAACUCUCCUACUUUCUAUGGGUCUAAGGUUGAAAAAGACCCCCAAGAAUUCUUUGAUGAGGUCUGCAAGGUGCUAUUCUAUGGGGGUGACUUCAAGUGAGAAGGCCGAGUUAGGCUCAUAUCAACUCAAGGAUGUGGCUCAAACUUGGUAUGUGCAAUGGAGGGAUAAUAGGUCAUUGAGGGUUGGUCCGAUGACUUGGGAGAUCGUUAAGGCGACUUUUCUAGAUCAUUUCUUCCCUAGAGAGAUGAGGGAGGAUAAAGUGACGGAGUUCAUCAAUCUUCACCAAGGAGGAAAGAGUGUUCAUGACUACUCUUUGGAAUUCGUUGAGUUGUCCAAAUAUGCUUUUUCUUUAGUCUCUGAUCCUAGAAACCGAAUGAACCAUUUUGUGAUGGGGGUGUCGAAGGACUUACAAGAGGAGUACAAAUCGGCCAUGCUACAUGACAACAUGAACAUUUCCUGUCUUAUAGUUUAUGCAAGAAGGGUUGAAAAGACAAGAGCUAAACGAAAAAAGUAGAGAUGCUAAGAGCGCUAGGUCAUUUGAUGAAGGCUCCCCAACGAAUAGGCUUGAGAUACAAGAUAAGCCUAAAUUUAAGAAGUGGGGUUCAAUUCAAGUCACUACAAAAUUCCCAAGAGUUAGUUGUGAUAGGAUGUCUAACCCUAAAUUUAAGAAGGGAAAAGGUUCUAAUUCACCAAAAGAGAAGACAACUUGUGGAAAGUGUGGUAUAAAUCACUAUGGUGAGUUCCUUAAGGGGAAGGAUAAUUGCUUUAGUUGUGGCAAGAAUGGUCACAAAAUGAGAGAUUGUCCAAACUUGAAUAGUCAAUACAAGAGUAGUGGCCAACCUCAACCAAAUGGUUCUAGUGAUGCUCCAAAGAACAACCGCUUUUGUGCUCUCCGCUCUAGGGGUGAGUAAGAGACCU